rnacentral:rRNA from 1 species
AGUGAACGCUGGCGGUAGGCCUAACACAUGCAAGUCGAACGGCAGCACAGUAAGAGCUUGCUCUUACGGGUGGCGAGUGGCGGACGGGUGAGGAAUACAUCGGAAUCUACUUUUUCGUGGGGGAUAACGUAGGGAAACUUACGCUAAUACCGCAUACGACCUACGGGUGAAAGCAGUGGAUCUUCGGACCUUGCGCGAUUGAAUGAGCCGAUGUCGGAUUAGCUAGUUGGCGGGGUAAAGGCCCACCAAGGCGACGAUCCGUAGCUGGUCUGAGAGGAUGAUCAGCCACACUGGAACUGAGACACGGUCCAGACUCCUACGGGAGGCAGCAGUGGGGAAUAUUGGACAAUGGGCGCAAGCCUGAUCCAGCCAUACCGCGUGGGUGAAGAAGGCCUUCGGGUUGUAAAGCCCUUUUGUUGGGAAAGAAAAGCAGCAUGUUAAUACCCCGCUGUUCUGACGGUACCCAAAGAAUAAGCACCGGCUAACUUCGUG